rnacentral:misc_RNA from 1 species
GUAGGUGAACCUGCGGAGGGAUCAUUACUGAGUUUUUAACUCUCCAAACCAUGUGAACUUACCACUGUUGCCUCGGUGGUCGUGUGCUGGAAACAGUGCUGCCACCGGUGGACUACUAAACUCUUGUUAAUUUUUGUCAAAUCUGAAUCAAACUAAGAAAUAAGUUAAAACUUUCAACAACGGAUCUCUUGGUUCUG